rnacentral:rRNA from 1 species
CCUACGGGGCGCAGCAGUGGGGAAUAUUGCACAAUGGGGGAAAGCCUGAUGCAGCAACGCCGCGUGAAGGAAGAAGGGUUUCGGCUCGUAAACUUCUAUUAAAAGGGACGAAAGAAAUGACGGUACCUGAAUAAGAAGCCCCGGCUAACUACGUGCCAGCAGCCGCGGUAAUACGUAGGGGGCUAGCGUUAUCCGGAAUUACUGGGCGUAAAGGGUGCGUAGGUGGUUUCUUAAGUCAGAGGGGAAAGGCUACGGCUCAACCGUAGUAAGCCUUUGAAACUGGGGAAAUUGGGUGCAGGAGGGGG